rnacentral:rRNA from 1 species
AUUGAACGCUGGCGGCAGGCUUAACACAUGCAAGUCGAGCGGAGAGAGGUAGCUUGCUACCGAUCUUAGCGGCGGACGGGUGAGUAAUGCUUAGGAAUCUGCCUAUUAGCGGGGGACAACAUUUCGAAAGGAAUGCUAAUACCGCAUACGUCCUACGGGAGAAAGCAGGGGAUCUUCGGACCUUGCGCUAAUAGAUGAGCCUAAGUCGGAUUAGCUAGUUGGUGGGGUAAAGGCCUACCAAGGCGACGAUCUGUAGCGGGUCUGAGAGGAUGAUCCGCCACACUGGGACUGAGACACGGCCCAGACUCCUACGGGAGGCAGCAGUGGGGAAUAUUGGACAAUGGGCGGAAGCCUGAUCCAGCCAUGCCGCGUGUGUGAAGAAGGCCUUAUGGUUGUAAAGCACUUUAAGCGAGGAGGAGGCUACUUUAGUUAAUACCUAGAGAUAGUGGACGUUACUCGCAGAAUAAGCACCGGCUAACUCUGUGCCAGCAGCCGCCGUAAGAC